GUUCCUCGCUCCUCUUCCAUGUGCAAUAGCAUCUGCCAAUUCACGUCCAGAUUAUUCUAUUAAAAGAAUUGUCAGCCCAACCUUAGAAUCUGUUCAUGAUGGUAUUAUUCUGUACUGCAUUGUUUACGCCUCUCAAGACCGGAAUCAUGUCUAUUGGUUUCCUGUUCUUUGCUUCUCCAGCCCCUUGAAAGCAAUUCUCGGUACGGCGGGGAGUAAGGAGUACCCCGUAAACGGUUCCUCGUUAUAGUCUACGCACAUCAAUUGAUAUCCCUUCUCCCGUGGUUGGACGGCCACACUCAUUGGAACAAGGCAGCAUGUUCGGGGACGGAUGAGAAACUCGGGUUCAUCGUUUUUGCAUCUUGCCAUAUUGCACAAACUCUAUAACCUCCAUCGCCCUCAACGUUCCCAAGCCCAGACAUAUACGUGUUAUAGUAAAAAUACAUGUUGGCUAAUGACGACAAAGCAGCAGCACCCAACUUGACAAUGAACUUUUGAAGUGCCCUUAGGCCCUCCCCCCCAAUAAUAUACAAAUAUAUAUACUAUGAGUAUUAGUUUUAAAAAUAAACCAGUGUUGCGUUGUGUUGUUCUCUGAGUUGGAACGCAAAAAGCCCCACUUAAAUUGCACAAUAUUGCUUCCUCAGCUAGUUGAGCAGAGACAUUGUUGAAGCAACAUCUUAUAAGUCCCUGAACAUUCGUCUAUUAGAAGGAGAGUAACGUGAUAUGCUUGUUUAUUUUGAGUGUUGGGAACAAUCAUCAAUGUCUUCUUAUUUGCUAUAACUCGGAAAGGUUCGCCAUUUACAUGCGUUCCCGCUUACGUGGGGCACUACGGAUGAUGUUAUCUACCCUGAGCAGCAGCUCUGCAGCCUCUGACGCUGACGACACAACUGCUCGCUUUAGUUUGUAGCUCUCUACAACACCCAAAUCCCGCAUGUCCGCAAUCCCACCACCAGGUGUCAGAAGAUCAAGCCCUGAGCUUGUCAUACCAUUAUUUAUGGCUUGUCUCAGCCUCGUGACGAUGUCGCUCGAGUCCAAGCCGGCGUUGCUUGCAAGGAUGGUUGGGAGUUGUUUGAGGGCUUGGGCAAAAGCAUCGACGGCAAUUUGUUUUUUCCCCGUGGUAUUUUGCGCAGUUUGUUCGACUGCCUUGGCCAUCACCAUCUCCGCACAUCCGCCACCCAGCGUCACCUUUGGCUCACGGACAGUCUGAGAGAGGACGGCAAGAGCAUCGUGUAGAGACCGUUCAGCUUCGUCAAGCAACUGUUCUGUAGCUCCCCGGAGGACAAUGGUGCAGGCUUGGCCGGCCGCAACACCAGAGAAUUUGAUCAGCGUGUCCUCGCCGAUGAUAACUUCCUCGAUGACAUCGCACCGGCCUAGCUUCACUUGAUCUGGAUGGUCAAAUGUUGAUGUGAUCUCUCCUCCCGUGACCAGUGCGAGACGCUCAAUGCCGUCGAAGUCGGCGUGCUCAAUAGAAACAAUGCCAGCAUCGGUAAAAAGUUGUUCGGGCCAAUUGUAUAUGAGUUGGCGGUUCACAAAGCAGUUGAUUCCAUGUGACUUAAUCUUCUCUACCUUCGCUCGCAUUUUUUCUCGUUCUGCUUUCUCCAAUUCUGCCAAUUUUCCUGUUGAGUCAACCUUAACACGGGCACCGAAAAUUUUAAUUUUAUCUGUGUCCAUAGCAGUAUUUGCGACCAAAAUCUUCGCGUUCUCAAGUCGCUUGGGUUGGUUCACUCCAAUCUUUUUGUCCAAGAUGAAUCCCUCGUCGAGGUAGGAGUCACUUAACUUCCCCCCAGCCUUCUUGAUAAUUUGGAUGUGACUUAGAUCAGUAGAUCCCUUGAGCCUGAGGACUGCGUCGCAGGCUAGACUUGCGAACUGAUCUCGGUCUUGACUAAGAACUUUCGAGCUGAGGGUUGUGCGGGCGAUCGCGUGCAAGUCCUUUCGGAAAGCAACGGGGUCUUUGCUGUUGUUCACGGCUGUUUUCUCCAGGGCUACGAGGGCCGCGCGGCUCGCAAUCCUGUAGCCUUCUAUAAUGGUCUGAGGGUGUAUUUUCCGUUCCACGAGCUUUUCCGCCUCCCGUAGAAGUUCCGCAGCGAGAACGGUGACAGAAGUGGUUCCAUCGCCAACUUCAUCAUCUUGAACCUUCGAAAUAUUCACUAGUACCUUCGCAGCAGCGUUGUCGAGAGCUAUGGCUUUGAGAAUUGUAGCUCCGUCGUUUGUAACCAUGAUCUCGCCAGUAGAAGCUGAUUGAAGAAUUUUGUCCAUUCCCUUUGGGCCCAGAGUGCUUUUCACAAGGUCGCCUACUGCGAUCGCACCCACAAAUGCGGACAAGCGAGCAUUUUCACCUUUCUCCUCCGUUACGUCUUCGGCGAAAAUCUGCGUGGGAUUAUUGAAUGACGCCAUGAUUGAAGCAGCAGAACAGCAGCUU
rnacentral:sRNA from 1 species